GAAAAACAGAAUUGAUAUUGCUUUUGAGAUGACACAUCGUCAAAGAUUGUGAGCAGUGGAGUUCAAUGUAAUGAACAUUGGUGCGCUACAAAUGCAAAAGAAGUGUGUUAGAAAGAAGUAAAAGUCAAUGGACUCUGGCUGCAAAUGGAGUAAUUGGGAGAAAAUUGCACGUUGUGUCAGCAGAUAAUGGACAACAAACAUGAUGGCGAUACAAGUGAAAUUGAAGGGAAACGAUGAUAAUAAUGCUGCGUUAAUGGUAAUAUUGCUUAUGGUAAUAGAUUCUAGUUUGGCUCCACUAUAAGUAUAAUUGGCAAUGUAAAUAAAGUUGGAAGUUCCCCUUCCUUCCUACUUUAUUUAGAUGAAGUUUAAGUUAAAUGCUUUAAUGUACAAUAAAAUAAUAUUGUACAUUGUCUUUUUGUCAAUAGUUUAAAGUAAUUAUAAUACUCCUGUAAUGAUCAUAAUGAAUUGAUAGACUG